UCGAGGGGUAACAUUGUGCUUGCACAGAUGACGACCGGCGCACGGGUGCGUAACGCGUAUAGAACCUACCUUUUACAGAGGAAUAGCCUUUAGAAAUGAAGAUUAAUGCCUCAUAGUAUUGUAGACUGGCAUCAGUUUAUAAUUAAAGAUUUAUCGGUAAAAGAUGGCUAUGCGUCCUAUUAGUUAGUUGGUAAGGUAACGGCUUACCAAGACAGCGAUAGGUAGGGGUCCUGAGAGGGAGAUCCCCCACACUGGUACUGAGACACGGACCAGACUCCUACGGGAGGCAGCAGUGAGGAAUAUUGGACAAUGGAGGAGACUCUGAUCCAGCCAUGCCGCGUGUAGGAAGAAUGCCCUAUGGGUUGUAAACUACUUUUAUACAGGAAGAAACACUGGUAUGUAUACCAGCUUGACGGUACUGUAAGAAUAAGGACCGG
rnacentral:rRNA from 1 species